UAGUGUGUAUCUGUAGGUUAGUGUGUAUCUGUAGGUUAGUGUGUAUCUGUAGGUUAGUCUGUAGGUUAGUGUGUAUCUGUAGGUUAGUGUGUAUCUGUAGGUUAGUGUGUAUCUGUAGGUUAGUGUGUAUCUGUAGGUUAGUGUGUAUCUGUAGAUUAGUGUGUAGGUUAGUGUGUAUCUGUAGGUUAGUGUGUAUCUGUAGGUUAGUGUGUAUCUGUAGGUUAGUGUGUAUCUGUAGAUUAGUGUGUAGGUUAGUGUGUGUCUGUAGGUUAGUGUGUAUCUGUAGGUUAGUGUGUAGGUUAGUGUGUAUCUGUAGGUUAGUG
rnacentral:lncRNA from 1 species